rnacentral:rRNA from 1 species
GAUGAACGCUGGCGGCGUGCCUAAUACAUGCAAGUCGAGCGAACAGACGAGGAGCUUGCUCCUCUGACGUUAGCGGCGGACGGGUGAGUAACACGUGGAUAACCUACCUAUAAGACUGGGAUAACUUCGGGAAACCGGAGCUAAUACCGGAUAAUAUAUUGAACCGCAUGGUUCAAUAGUGAAAGACGGUAUUGCUGUCACUUAUAGAUGGAUCCGCGCCGCAUUAGCUAGUUGGUAAGGUAACGGCUUACCAAGGAAACGAUGCGUAGCCGACCUGAGAGGGUGAUCGGCCACACUGGAACUGAGACACGGUCCAGACUCCUACGGGAGGCAGCAGUAGGGAAUCUUCCGCAAUGGGCGAAAGCCUGACGGAGCAACGCCGCGUGAGUGAUGAAGGUCUUCGGAUCGUAAAACUCUGUUAUUAGGGAAGAACAAAUGUGUAAGUAACUAUGCACGUCUUGACGGUACCUAAUCAGAAAGCCACGGCUAACUACGUG